CAAGGUGAUACACAGCUGUAGCUACAGAGUUGAGUAUAUCCCAGUCUUUCAGGCACCCGCUGUGAGUCUGGAACAUCUCCCCCCCAGGGAACCUGGAGCCACAUUUUCUCUCCAAGACUCAACCGUGAGUAACACAACGAUCAGCCUACACAAUUUAUCUUCUCUCAUCAACACGCAGACAGCCAGGACCCAGAAGGUCAAGGAAAUGGACAUGGCCACAGUCAACAGCGGCUUCCAAUACUGCCAUGCUCUGAAUCUCACUGUAACUUGAUUUCCAGUUCAUAUUUUUCUCACAGAAAACACAGAAUAUGCUUUUCACCAGUGGCAAUGAGAAAUCCAGUCUUCUGCCAUCCCACUAGUUAAUAAACAUUUUCUGAGGUUCAAUAUGCCGUAUAUUGAAAUGUGCGCAGGAGACGGAGCAUGUGUGAAUGACGGAAACAGACUCUGAAC